GUUUAUGCCAUUCUCCUGCCUCAGCCUCCCAAGUAGCUGGGACUAUGGGCUUCUGCCACCCUCGCCCGGCUAGUUUUUGUAUUUUUAGUGGAGACGGGGUUUCACCAUGUUAGCCCAUGUUGGGAUGGUCUCGAUCUCCUGACCUCGUGAUCCGCCCGUCUCGGCCUCCCAAAGUGCUGGGAUUACAGACUUGAGCCACUGCGCCCGGCCACAACCAGCUAAUUUUUAAAUGUUUUGUAGAGGCAGUGGGGAGGAGUGGGAUGGGAUGGUGGGGUGGUCUUCCGGUGUUCCUCACGCUGGUCUCAAACUCCUAGCCUCAAGCAAACCUGCCACCUCAGCCUCCCAAAGUGCUGUAAUCACAGGCUUAUGCAAUUGGUUUUGAUUGUAAUCCUAUGUAUUUUUUUUGGGGGGUAUUAAAAGCAUGACUCUGAAAUGGGUUCACCAGUUGGCCAAAGGGGACCAUGGCAAAAAUAAAGUAUAAGAAUUUCUGACUUAGCGCAGGUUCAGAUAGGAAAAAGUGAACAUCCUAGAGUAUAAUUACCUUUGGGAUGUAAACACCUGAGUAGGAUCUUUCAAAUGCUAACUAAUCACUCCUGAGUAUGUAUUCCUGAUUAGGAUAAUUUGAAUGUUAACUAACCACCCCCAGAGUGUGGAUUAAAACUAAUUAACAAUGAAUUGUAAAACCUGUUGAUCAGUAUGAAUAAACAUUACCAGUUUCUCCUCCACUUCAAAGUAUAUACUAAAUCCACCCCUUCUUCCUACCUCCACUGUCCCCAGCCUAGGCUGGUAUUUCAAAAGAUCAUUUUGUAGACAGACACAAUAUUUCAUUAAAUAAUUAAUUCAUGAAUCCAAAAUGUCAUAGGUUGUAAGACUCAUCAUUCUUUUCUGCACCCAGAAAGAAAAUUUGCUGUCAAUUAAAUUAUGACAUAUUAUUAAUGGUAAAAUUCAUCCUAAUUUCAGAGGUGAUUAAAAGUGAAAAAGAUACGCAUUUUAGAAUAGAUGAAAUAAGGUAUAUCACACAGCUGAUACUGAAGCAUUUUGAAGCAAAUUAUAAAC
rnacentral:lncRNA from 1 species